GACGAACGCUGGCGGCGUGCUUAACACAUGCAAGUCGAACGGAAAGGCCCUGCUUGCAGGGUACUCGAGUGGCGAACGGGUGAGUAACACGUGGGUGAUCUGCCCUGCACUUCGGGAUAAGCUUGGGAAACUGGGUCUAAUACCGGAUAGGAACCAUCUUUAGUGUGGUGGUUGGAAAGUUUUUUCGGUGUAGGAUGAGCUCGCGGCCUAUCAGCUUGUUGGUGGGGUAAUGGCCUACCAAGGCGGCGACGGGUAGCCGGCCUGAGAGGGUGUACGGCCACAUUGGGACUGAGGUACGGCCCAGACUCCUACGGGAGGCAGCAGUGGGGAAUAUUGCACAAUGGGCGCAAGCCUGAUGCAGCGACGCCGCGUGGGGGAUGAAGGCCUUCGGGUUGUAAACUCCUUUCGCUAGGGACGAAGCUUUUUGUGACGGUACCUAGAUAAGAAGCACCGGCUAACUACGUG
rnacentral:rRNA from 1 species